rnacentral:rRNA from 1 species
GCCCUGGCAGUCAGAGGCGAUGAAGGACGUGCUAAUCUGCGAUAAGCGUCGGUAAGGUGAUAUGAACCGUUAUAACCGGCGAUUUCCGAAUGGGGAAACCCAGUGUGUUUCGACACACUAUCAUUAACUGAAUCCAUAGGUUAAUGAGGCGAACCGGGGGAACUGAAACAUCUAAGUACCCCGAGGAAAAGAAAUCAACCGAGAUUCCCCCAGUAGCGGCGAGCGAACGGGGAGCAGCCCAGAGUCUGAAUCAGUGUGUGUGUUAGUGGAAGCGUCUGGAAAGGCGCGCGAUACAGGGUGACAGCCCCGUACACAAAAAUGCACAUGCUGUGAGCUCGAUGAGUAGGGCGGGACACGUGGUAUCCUGUCUGAAUAUGGGGGGACCAUCCUCCAAGGCUAAAUACUCCUGACUGACCGAUAGUGAACUAGUACCGUGAGGGAAAGGCGAAAAGAACCCCGGAGAGGGGAGUGAAAUAGAUCCUGAAACCGUAUGCGUACAAGCAGUGGGAGCACGCUUAGGCGUGUGACUGCGUACCUUUUGUAUAAUGGGUCAGCGACUUAUAUUCUGUAGCGAGCUUAACCGAAUAGGGGAGGCGUAGCGAAAGCGAGUCUUAAUAGGGCGUCUAGUCGCUGGGAAUAGACCCGAAACCGGGCGAUCUAUCCAUGGGCAGGUUGAAG